GGUUAAGCGACUAAGCGUACACGGUGGAUGCCCUGGCAGUCAGAGGCGAUGAAGGACGUGCUAAUCUGCGAAAAGCGUCGGUAAGGUGAUAUGAACCGUUAUAACCGGCGAUGUCCGAAUGGGGAAACCCAGUGCAAUUCGUUGCACUAUCGUUAACUGAAUACAUAGGUUAACGAGGCGAACCGGGGGAACUGAAACAUCUAAGUACCCCGAGGAAAAGA
rnacentral:rRNA from 3 species